UGGGGAAUAUUGCACAAUGGGCGCAAGCCUGAUGCAGCCAUGCCGCGUGUGUGAAGAAGGCCUUCGGGUUGUAAAGCACUUUCAGCGGGGAGGAAGGCGUUAAGGUUAACAACCUUGGCGAUUGACGUUACCCGCAGAAGAAGCACCGGCUAACUCCGUGCCAGCAGCCGCGGUAAUACGGAGGGUGCAAGCGUUAAUCGGAAUUACUGGGCGUAAAGCGCACGCAGGCGGUCUGUCAAGUCGGAUGUGAAAUCCCCGGGCUCAACCUGGGAACUGCAUCUGAUACUGGCAAGCUUGAGUCUCGUAGAGGGGGGUAGAAUUCCAGGUGUAGCGGUGAAAUGCGUAGAGAUCUGGAGGAAUACCGGUGGCGAAGGCGGCCCCCUGGACGAAGACUGACGCUCAGGUGCGAAAGCGUGGGGAGCAAACAGG
rnacentral:rRNA from 1 species